rnacentral:rRNA from 1 species
UACGUAGGGGGCAAGCGUUGUUCGGAUUCAUUGGGCGUAAAGGGUGCGUAGGCGGCGCGGUAAGUCGGGGUGUGAAAUCUCGGAGCUUAACUCCGAAACUGCAUUCGAUACUGCCGUGCUUGAGGACUGGAGAGGAGACUGGAAUUUACGGUGUAGCGGUGAAAUGCGUAGAUAUCGUAAGGAAGACCAGUGGCGAAGGCGGGUCUCUGGACAGUUCCUGACGCUGAGGCACGAAGGCCAGGGGAGCAAACGGGG